rnacentral:rRNA from 1 species
CCCUUAGAUGUUCUGGGCCGCACGCGCGCUACACUGACGAUGGCUACGAGUUUUUCCUUCGCCGAAAGGUGUGGGUAAUCUUUUGAAACAUCGUCGUGCUGGGGAUAGAUCAUUGCAAUUUUUGAUCUUGAACGAGGAAUUCCUAGUAAGCGCGAGUCAUCAGCUCGCGUUGAUUACGUCCCUGCCCUUUGUACACACCGCCCGUCGCUACUACCGAUUGAAUGGUUUAGUGAGGACUCCUGAUUGGCGCCGCCGCCCCGGCAACGGAGCAGCGGACUGCCGAAAAGUUGUUCAAACUUGAUCAUUUAGAGGAAGUAAAAGUCGUAACA